ACUCAAAGGAAUUGACGGGGGCCCGCACAAGCAGCGGAGCAUGUGGUUUAAUUCGACGCAACGCGAAGAACCUUACCUGGGCUUGACAUGUGAGCGACAGGUGUGGAAACACAUCCUCCCUUCGGGGCGCUCUCACAGGUGGUGCAUGGCUGUCGUCAGCUCGUGUCGUGAGAUGUUGGGUUAAGUCCCGCAACGAGCGCAACCCCCGUCGCAUGUUGCCAGCAUUCAGUUGGGGACUCAUGCGAGACUGCCGGUGACAAACCGGAGGAAGGUGGGGAUGACGUCAAGUCAUCAUGCCCCUUAUGCUCAGGGCUACACACGUGCUACAGUGGCGCGUACAGAGGGCUGCGAUACCGUAAGGUGGAGCGAAUCCCUUAAAGCGCGUCCCGGUUCGGAUUGCAGGCUGAAACUCGCCUGCAUGAAGGCGGAGUUGCUAGUAAUCGCGGAUCAGCAAUGCCGCGGUGAAUACGUUCCCGGGCCUUGUACACACCGCCCGU
rnacentral:rRNA from 1 species